rnacentral:rRNA from 1 species
AACGUAGGACGCGAGCGUUAUCCGGAGUACUGGGCGUAAAGCGCGGGCAGGCGGUCUGACAAGUCUGAUGUGAAAUCUCCGGGCUUAACCGGGAGAGGCCAUUGGAAACUGACAGGCUGGAGGGCAGUAGAGGUAGGCGGAAUUCCGGGUGGAGUGGUGAAAUGCGUAGAGAUCCGGAGGAACACCAGAGGCGAAGGCGGCCUACUGGGCUGCACCUGACGCUGAGCCGCGAAAGCCAGGGGAGCGAACGGG